UUUCGGGAUGAAGGGGAAUGUAUUCUCGAUGGAUGGAUGCGCCAUAUGGUCCAGGAUAAUCUCGAGUCGACGACAGGGAUUGCAUUUCUUGGCUCGACGUGAUCGCAGCAAUAAGACAGGAUUCUUCUCUGGUAUGAGGCGGUACAAAAAACUCGGCUACGUAUCGUUUACUAUCAUUCGUGCCGAAUUAACACAUCGUUGACCGGCAAUUUUGCACAGAUCGAUUUUGUGUCACCGGCUAUUAUUUCGUAAUUGAAUGCGAAAUUAAAACGAUCCGAAUAAACUCCGAUGAACGUUAUCUGUAUUUUAUAGGUAAUUCGAGUGCGAACACGAUUCGACAAUGCGUCGACAGAAAAUGUUGAACAGCGUAAGAACGUGGAUCCGAUUGAAAAUCACCGCGGGCGUACCGAAGCGAUAUUGCCACCUUGGCGGGCCCACAAAAACCGAUUAAUUACGGUCGCUACGUAACCGAGUACCUGCUCGGUGCACGUGUACCGGUACAUUAUGUACCGGUGGCCGCGGCCGAGCAUUGUACACGAGCAGUCGGCCAUAAAAUCCCGAGCCGUCCUGACGCAUUGGUUGCGUCCCGCAAAGACGUCGACGCUGAGUAAUUACGAGCCGCGCGGAGACAAUAGCGAAUUUAAAAUCGUUACGCAAACUAACUAGAUUUCCCGCUACUUCGCGAGGAAGGUGGGGGGCAUCGAGUCUAAUUACGCAACCGUAACGUGUCUCUCUUUCCCUUGCUUCCUCGAGCCACGUGGCCUGGCGAUCGUUGAAAUUUUAAUCGAGUUUCCGAAUUAGAAACAAAACUGUUACUCACGUAACAGGUGUUUCAGUGUAACGAUUAAUACUCUUUUACGAUAAAUACCGAAGAGUACCGUAAUGUAUUUUAAGAAGACCAACGUGUACUGCGACUCCUUAUAAUGCAACGUAUUUCUUUGUAGACGAGCAGAACGUACCACUUCAAGGGGCAUUACUACGAAUAAAUACAAGAAGAACGUGUAUUGGUAUCGCAGGAAGAAAGAACAGCGUCGGUGGUAGUAAGGAGGAUGCGUUACCACGGCGUCACGAGAGGCGUUCACGCAAUCGGCCGAAGCUUUUCUGGAGGUAAUCUUUCCACGGAGACAACGACCACGUAACAGAGACGAGAUGCGAAUUCGAGACGCGGUGGAAGUUUGUUCGCGGCGAGUUUGGCCGUCUCCGAGACAGAAAAUUGCACGUGCAGCAGCGAGGAUCUCUCCGACGAUAUGUUCGGUUUCUCCAUGAACACUCGACACGAACUAUCGCGUGCCACGUCCGAACAAGAACCACCGUUUUCGAUGGUAAACGCUCGCCGCGGCGAAAUCUGCCCGAGAGAUCGAGCGAACGGCGUCAGGUGCAUCCGACCGUUUUCAAUAAGUUACACUCGACACGAGUCAGCCAACGUCGAGAGCAGUUUUGCAGUCGCCAUCGAUCUCGAGAUCACCGCGUCAGCCCUCCUCCGUGAUAUGCUGGCAAUUCCAGCAACCGUUCGGGCUUUUUCCAGCAGGGGAUUCCGCGAUGCGAGACCUGCUUCCGUGGAUCCAACCGGAAUUCCAAAUGUGACGGACAACUGCGAAGUACCAGCCCAGCUAUCAAUUUACACGAAUCGUCCAUCGAUCUUCGAUCCCUGCCACGGGAAACGAACGACGCGACGCGUUCGGAAACCGGAA